GUGAAUCAUCGAAUCUUUGAACGCAAAUUGCACUCUCUUGGGAGAGUAUGCCUGUUCGAGGGUCAGUAUUAAUAAAAAUCGGAGUGGUGGUGCUUGGUGACGUUCCGGAGUGUGGGUCAUCUUAAUAUCCUUUAGGCUUUAAGUGGCUUAAAAUUGACUUUUUUUGCGCAUUUUCGAUGUAAAUUAAUUAUUUUUUUUAUUCGUUUGUAUUAAUGCUACAAAUUCUAUUAGAUGCGAUCAUAUCGUGUGGUUU
rnacentral:misc_RNA from 1 species